UUGCAGUUAAAAAGCUCGUAGUUGGAUUUCUGCGGGGGCGGGGCGGCCGGAUGCUUAUAGCAUCUCGAGCUAGCACUUCCCCCGCAUCCUGCCGCGAACCGUGCUACCAUUAGUUUGGUGGCGCUGGGGAUCGGCUCGUUUACUUUGAGAAAAAUAGAGUGUUCAAAGCAGGCCACACGCCUUGAAUAAGUUAGCAUGGAAUAAUGAUAAAGGACUUCGGUUCUAUUUUGUUGGUGUUCGGGACUGAAGUAAUGAUUGAUAGGGACAGUUGGGGCGGUCAGUAUUCCAAAGCGAGAGGUGAAAUUCUUAGACCUUCGGAAGACUAACAGCUGCGAAAGCGUUCCGCAAGGAUGUUCCCUUUGAUCAAGAACGAAAGUUGGGGGAUCGAAGACGAUCAGAUACCGUCGUAGUCUCAACUAUAAACUAUACCAGCUAGGGAUCGGCCGACGUUUACUUAUAUCGACUCGGUCGGCACCUUAUGAGAAAUCAAAGCAUCUGGGUUCCGGGGGGAGUAUGGUCGCAAGGCUGAAACUUAA
rnacentral:rRNA from 1 species